GAUGAAGAACGCAGCGAAAUGCGAUAAGUAGUGUGAAUUACAGAAUUCAGUGAAUCAUCGAAUCUUUGAACGCACAUUGCGCCCCUUGGUAUUCCAUGGGGCAUGCCUGUUCGAGCGUCAUUUGUACCUUCAAGCUUUGCUUGGUGUUGGGUGUUUGUCUCGCCUUUGCGUGUAGACUCGCCUUAAAAUAAUUGGCAGCCGGCGUAUUGAUUUCGGAGCGCAGUACAUCUCGCGCUUUGCACUCAUAACGACAGCGUCCAAAAGUACAUUUUACACUCUUGACCUCGGAUCAGGUAGGGAUACCCGCUGAACUUAAGCAUAUCAAUAAGCGGAGGA
rnacentral:misc_RNA from 1 species